GCGGGGGUUCCGGAGUGGUCAAACGGGAUAGCCUCAAGAGCUAUUGUGCUUAGUGCCUUCGGAGGUUCGAAUCCUCCCUCCCGCA
rnacentral:tRNA from 1 species